rnacentral:rRNA from 1 species
UACGUAGGGUGCGAGCGUUAAUCGGAAUUACUGGGCGUAAAGCGGGCGCAGGCGGGUCGUUGUGUCGGCGGUGAAAGCCCCGGGCUUAACCUGGGAAUGGCCGUUGAAACUGGCGAACUGGAGUGUGGCAGAGGGAGGUAGAAUUCCACGUGUAGCAGUGAAAUGCGUAGAGAUGUGGAGGAAUACCGAUGGCGAAGGCAGCCUCCUGGGCCAACACUGACGCUCAUGCACGAAAGCGUGGGGAGCAAACAGG